AGAAAAGCGCCAGAGCCCCACGGCGGGCUGACGAGGUGAGAGGAGUAUCGAAACAUUCGGCGGAUGCCUCUCCGCUCCGGUGCCGGAGCGCAGGAUACAGAAAAAACCUCUGGGCAACCAGACCGACAGAGCUGUACCC
rnacentral:ncRNA from 1 species